rnacentral:rRNA from 1 species
GAUGAACGCUGGCGGCGUGCUUAACACAUGCAAGUCGAACGGUGAACGAGGGAGCUUGCUCCCUCCGGAUCAGUGGCGAACGGGUGAGUAACACGUGAGCAAUCUGCCCUGGACUCUGGGAUAAGCGUUGGAAACGACGUCUAAUACCGGAUACGAGGCGUGGGGGCAUCCCCAACGCCUGGAAAGAACUUCGGUCCAGGAUGAGCUCGCGGCCUAUCAGCUUGUUGGUGAGGUAACGGCUCACCAAGGCGACGACGGGUAGCCGGCCUGGGCGGGUGACCGGCCACACUGGGACUGAGACACGGCCCAGACUCCUACGGGAGGCAGCAGUGGGGAAUAUUGCACAAUGGGCGCAAGCCUGAUGCAGCAACGCCGCGUGAGGGACGACGGCCUUCGGGUUGUAAACCUCUUUUAGCAGGGAAGAAGCGAAGGUGACGGUACCUGCAGAAAAAGCACCGGCUAACUACGUGCCAGCCGCCGCGGUAAAAC